ACCGAUAGUGAACCAGUACCGUGAGGGAAAGGCGAAAAGAACCCCGGCGAGGGGAGUGAAAAAGAACCUGAAACCGUGUACGUACAAGCAGUGGGAGCCUCUUAAUGGGGUGACUGCGUACCUUUUGUAUAAUGGGUCAGCGACUUAUAUUCUGUAGCAAGGUUAACCGAAUAGGGGAGCCGAAGGGAAACCGAGUCUUAACUGGGCGCUAAGUUGCAGGGUAUAGACCCGAAACCCGGUGAUCUAGUCAUGGGCAGGUUGAAGGUUGGGUAACACUAACUGGAGGACCGAACCGACUAAUGUUGAAAAAUUAGCGGAUGACUUGUGGCUGGGGGUGAAAGGCCAAUCAAACCGGGAGAUAGCUGGUUCUCCCCGAAAGCUAUUUAGGUAGCGCCUCGUGAAUUCAUCUCCGGGGGUAGAGCACUGUUUCGGCAAGGGGGUCAUCCCGACUUACCAACCCGAUGCAAACUGCGAAUACCGGAGAAUGUUAUCACGGGAGACACACGGCGGGUGCUAACGUCCGUCGUGAAGAGGGAAACAACCCAGACCGCCAGCUAAGGUCCCAAAGUCAUGGUUAAGUGGGAAACGAUGUGGGAAGGCCCAGACAGCCAGGAUGUUGGCUUAGAAGCAGCCAUCAUUUAAAGAAAGCGUAAUAGCUCACUGGUCGAGUCGGCCUGCGCGGAAGAUGUAACGGGGCUAAACCAUGCACCGAAGCUGCGGCAGCGACACUAUGUGUUGUUGGGUAGGGGAGCGUUCUGUAAGCCUGUGAAGGUGGCCUGUGAGGGUUGCUGGAGGUAUCAGAAGUGCGAAUGCUGACAUAAGUAACGAUAAAGCGGGUGAAAAGCCCGCUCGCCGGAAGACCAAGGGUUCCUGUCCAACGUUAAUCGGGGCAGGGUGAGUCGACCCCUAAGGCGAGGCCGAAAGGCGUAGUCGAUGGGAAACAGGUUAAUAUUCCUGUACUUGGUGUUACUGCGAAGGGGGGACGGAGAAGGCUAUGUUGGCCGGGCGACGGUUGUCCCGGUUUAAGCGUGUAGGCUGGUUUUCCAGGCAAAUCCGGAAAACCAAGGCUGAGGCGUGAUGACGAGGCACUACGGUGCUGAAGCGACAAAUGCCCUGCUUCCAGGAAAAGCCUCUAAGCAUCAGGUAACAUCAAAUCGUACCCCAAACCGACACAGGUGGUCAGGUAGAGAAUACCAAGGCGCUUGAGAGAACUCGGGUGAAGGAACUAGGCAAAAUGGUGCCGUAACUUCGGGAGAAGGCACGCUGAUAUGUAGGUGAAGCGACUUGCUCGUGGAGCUGAAAUCAGUCGAAGAUACCAGCUGGCUGCAACUGUUUAUUAAAAACACAGCACUGUGCAAACACGAAAGUGGACGUAUACGGUGUGACGCCUGCCCGGUGCCGGAAGGUUAAUUGAUGGGGUUAGCGGUAACGCGAAGCUCUUGAUCGAAGCCCCGGUAAACGGCGGCCGUAACUAUAACGGUCCUAAGGUAGCGAAAUUCCUUGUCGGGUAAGUUCCGACCUGCACGAAUGGCGUAAUGAUGGCCAGGCUGUCUCCACCCGAGACUCAGUGAAAUUGAACUCGCUGUGAAGAUGCAGUGUACCCGCGGCAAGACGGAAAGACCCCGUGAACCUUUACUAUAGCUUGACACUGAACAUUGAGCCUUGAUGUGUAGGAUAGGUGGGAGGCUUUGAAGUGUGGACGCCAGUCUGCAUGGAGCCGACCUUGAAAUACCACCCUU
rnacentral:rRNA from 1 species